UACGGGGGGGGGCAAGCGUUGUUCGGAAUUACUGGGCGUAAAGGGCUCGUAGGCGGCCAACUAAGUCAGACGUGAAAUCCCUCGGCUUAACCGGGGAACUGCGUCUGAUACUGGAUGGCUAGAGUUCGGGAGAGGGAUGCGGAAUUCCAGGUGUAGCGGUGAAAUGCGUAGAUAUCUGGAGGAACACCGGUGGCGAAGGCGGCAUCCUGGACCGGCAUUGACGCUGAGGCGCGAAAGCCAGGGGAGCAAACGGG
rnacentral:rRNA from 1 species